rnacentral:rRNA from 1 species
ACGGGUGAGUAACGCGUGGGAACGUGCCUUUUGGUUCGGAACAACACAGGGAAACUUGUGCUAAUACCGGAUAAGCCCUUACGGGGAAAGAUUUAUCGCCAAAAGAUCGGCCCGCGUCUGAUUAGCUUGUUGGUGAGGUAACGGCUCACCAAGGCUACGAUCAGUAGCUGGUCUGAGAGGAUGAUCAGCCACACUGGGACUGAGACACGGCCCAGACUCCUACGGGAGGCAGCAGUGGGGAAUAUUGGACAAUGGGCGCAAGCCUGAUCCAGCCAUGCCGCGUGAGUGAUGAAGGCCCUAGGGUUGUAAAGCUCUUUCGGCGGGGAAGAUAAUGACGGUACCCGCAUAAGAAGCCCCGGCUAACUUCGUGCCAGCAGCCGCGGUAAUACGAAGGGGGCUAGCGUUGCUCGGAAUCACUGGGCGUAAAGGGUGCGUAGGUGGGUCUUUAAGUCAGAGGUGAAAUCCUGGAGCUCAACUCCAGAACUGCCUUUGAUACUGAGGAUCUUGAGUUCGGGAGAGGUGAGUGGAACUGCGAGUGUAGAGGUGAAAUUCGUAGA